UACGUAGGGGGCUAGCGUUGUCCGGAAUCAUUGGGCGUAAAGAGCGUGUAGGCGGUUCGGUAAGUCCGCUGUGAAAGUCCAGGGCUCAACCCUGGAAUGCCGGUGGAUACUGUCGGGCUAGAGUCCGGAAGAGGCGAGUGGAAUUCCUGGUGUAGCGGUGAAAUGCGCAGAUAUCAGGAGGAACACCGAUGGCGAAGGCAGCUCGCUGGGACGGUACUGACGCUGAGACGCGAAAGCGUGGGGAGCAAACAGG
rnacentral:rRNA from 1 species